CCACUCGCCGCCUGUCCGCCGCUCCACGCCUCGUGCCUGCGCACUGGAGCAGGAGAGGCGCGCCCGAGCGCCCUGGACUCCCGACUCCUUUUUUGGGGCACCGUGGUGGAAAUGCAUCCCCUCUGGGUGCGUACUCCUGCCCCCUCCCUUCCGAGGAGGGAUUUGGCGUGCCCUACCCACAAAUACCUCUGACCCUACUAGAGAAACAUUUUUUCCGUGUCAAGACUGUUGACUAGAGUGGCAAAAUCUGGCUUAAAAGUUCUUCCCAAAUCCCUCUUGGGGGUGUGGAGAGUGUAGAUCGAUAGGCUAUUCCCUUUCCUGCCUCAGUUUCCCCUGUAUAAUAAUGAUCAAAGUCUCUCUGGGGGCCCUGCUGGGUCAGACUCCAUUGAUUGAGCUGGUCCUUUCCCAGCCGCCCACUCUUGCAAUGAUAGCUGCCACCCGCCCCCAUCCAGUGAGCUCCUGAGGGCGCCAUCUUCUCUCCUCCUCCUCCUCACCCAGCUAGCGUGUGUCUUCAGCCCCCAAUCUUAGCAAUGGGGGUGGUGAAGGGGUGGGAUAUGGGCGGUCACCCCUUCAACCAUGGGUCUGUCAGUUACCGAUCACGCCACCUCCGUCCCAAGUCUCUCCUCUUUGAGCCUUAAGGAUCCUUGACGCCCUGGCCGGGCAGGCUGCCCACUUUGGGCACUGCAAGGGGUGGGGGAUAGGGUGGAAUAGGGGUGUUGGCUUCCAACUCCACAGGGACACCAGGGGUGGUGAGAUAGAGUGAAGGGGGAAGUGGAAUUGACAGUUGGGCCUCCAAACGCCCAGGACGCCUUCGUGGGCCGACGCGUUUGUCAGGAGAGAGAACCGCGUCCUCCUCUCCCAGGAGGGCGCUGCCCCCAGGACGCUGAAUGCGGCUGGAGGGGGUAGGGGCACCGGCCAAUGCGGGAGCGGGAGGGCGCAGAAAGCCACGUUCCAACCCCCGGAGGGUGGGUCCCGGCUUCUCUGCCUCAGACCUGCGGGCGGGACGCGGAAGGGGCAGGCCAGGAACCCGGCGGGGACAGAAUGGUGCCUUGCUGAAUAACACCUGAAUGAAGAAAUAUAGGACACUGUGCUGGGAACAUAGGGUGGAACGUGGUAGCAGUUGGAGGGGUGUUCAAGUGUGUCAGUGCCCUGCAUCAGCCCUGUUUGUCUACUGCCAGGUCUCAGUCUGCUUCAGACACCCAGAUGUGAGAACCGCUUGUCAGGAAAGGGUGUUGGCUUUUCCCCAUGCCAGGAAUGAGGGACACACCGUCCCAGCUGUCCAGCCGACCCAGUGGGUCUUUUGUGGUUUUACCUCAGCCGGCUUCUGGACACAUUAGCCAGGAAUCCUCCAGUCACAAGGAUAGAAACUCAGCUCAAGGAGAAAGGACACAGAAGCAGACACACAGAGGAGAAGGCCACAGGAAGACCCGGGCAGAGACUGGAGUGAAGCUGCCACAACCUGAAGACCUCUAGGCACCACCAGAAGCUGGAAGAGAAGGAAGGACUCUCCCCUGGGGUCUGCAGGAGUGUGGCUCUACUGGCACCUUGACUGCAAACUCCGGUCUGCAGAACUGUGAGAGAAGAAAUUCCUGUUGCUUUAAGCCACAGAGUUUGUGAUAAUUUGUUCUGGCAGCCUUAGGAAACGAAUGCACCUUUCCUUGCAUUUGACCAGAGGUUCGCCUGGGCUCCCUCUCCCUGUAAAGUUCUAUCCGCACGUUCAGUUUCUCUCUCUUCCCAGUGGAGGCUGCUAUCGCUCAGGGAAAUUUACCUUGGUGUUAAGUGGAAACAAAUAUGAUAAUUUAGUUAAAAAGUCCUUUCCUUUGAGCCAUUGAAAUCUUUCCCUCACACAACUGCAUUCAAAAUGAGGCCUUCUUGGGGGAGCGUGGCCUGCAGAUUUGUGACACCCGCUUGGCCCCCUGGCUGAGCCAGCCCCUGUACAGAAGGCACCUCUGCUGUGGUGCUGAUUUCAGCACUGCAAUGUCAUGAGAGCACUUUUUUUUUGCUGUUAUUUUUGUUUUUUUGAGAUAGAGUCUCCCUCUGUCACUCCGGCUAGAGUGCAUACAUCAUAGAAUGUAUUUCAUCAUAGCUCACUGCAUCCUCAAACUCCUGGGCUCAAGCAAUCCUCCUGCCUCAGCCUCUGGA